rnacentral:lncRNA from 1 species
CUGGACAAGAUGCACGCCGUGGCGCCCAACCUGUCGGCGCUCAUUGGCGAGACGGUGGGCGCGCGCCUGAUCAGCCACGCCGGCUCGCUGACCAACCUGGCCAAGUACCCCGCCUCCACGGUGCAGAUCCUGGGCGCGGAGAAGGCGCUGUUCAGGUGCGUGGGCGCGUGGGUGCGUGGCGGGGUGGUGGCGUCCCCGCCGCAGAGGGAGUUCUGGGAUGGGGGACGAGGGUACGAAGGGCGGACUGCUGACUUGGGGUGCACCGUAUCGAGGGGAGGGGAAAGCAACCAUUGGCGCCGCACAACAUACUGCAGACGCAUGUGCAUGAAAGGGGCCAGCGGGCGAGCCUGCUCGUUCCCGCUGCGCGCCUUCUCUCCGGGCCGGCUCGUUGAUGACAUGGAUUUAGUCCCAACAGUCUGAGGGGGAACUUUGGUCGGUACCCCCCUUCUUGAUGAAUAUUAGAUAUCAUCUUUCGGGGCUGAGAGCCACUUCGGCACCGGAGAGAAGCGCCAGCAAGCACCCGCAUAAUGCACACGCACACGACCAUCCCAACCGCACGCAUACGCGCGCGUGGCCCUACGCCCAACACGCCAGAACAGCUCGGCCGACACGCAGCCGGCACGCCAGACCCCGCUGCCAACCAUCGCGCCACUCACUGUCCCGUCCGCCUCGCCGUUGCCGCCUACCUGCGCAGGGCGCUGAAGACUCGCGGCAACACGCCUAAGUACGGCCUCAUCUUCCACUCGUCCUUCAUCGGCCGCGCCAAGCAGCGCAACAAGGGCCGCAUCUCGCGCUACCUGGCCAACAAGUGCUCCAUCGCCUCGCGCAUCGACUGCUUCAUGGACGGCAACACCAACGUGUUCGGCGAGAAGAUGCGCGAGCAGGUGCGGGCGGCUCGGCGGGCUCAGCAUGGCUUCCUGGUGCCCGCACCGAGGCAGCUGGGCGGUCAUGCACCCAGUGCCCUGUCGUUGCCGUGGGCCCAGCCUGCGUCCAUCUUGCCCGAGCCGCUGAACGAGCCCUAACGCUUUGCAAUGCCG